AUAUCAAUAAGCGGAGGAAAAGAAACCAACAGGGAUUGCCCCAGUAACGGCGAGUGAAGCGGCAACAGCUCAAAUUUGAAAUCUGGCCCCUCUCGGGGUCCGAGUUGUAAUUUGUAGAGGAUGCUUUUGGCGAGGCGCCGCCCGAGUUCCCUGGAACGGGACGCCACAGAGGGUGAGAGCCCCGUCUGGCUGGCCGCCGAGCCUCUGUAAAGCUCCUUCGACGAGUCGAGUAGUUUGGGAAUGCUGCUCAAAAUGGGAGGUAUAUGUCUUCUAAAGCUAAAUACUGGCCAGAGACCGAUAGCGCACAAGUAGAGUGAUCGAAAGAUGAAAAGCACCUUGAAAAGAGGGUUAAAUAGUACGUGAAAUUGUUGAAAGGGAAGCGCUUGUGACCAGACUUGGGCGCGGCGGAUCAUCCGGGGUUCUCCCCGGUGCACUUCGCCGCGUCCAGGCCAGCAUCAGUUCGUCGCGGGGGAUAAAGGCGUCGGGAACGUGGCUCCCCCGGGAGUGUUAUAGCCCGUCGCACAAUACCCUGCGGUGGACUGAGGACCGCGCAUCUGCAAGGAUGCUGGCGUAAUGGUCACCAGCGACCCGUCUUGAAACACGGACCAAGGAGUCGUCUUCGUAUGCGAGUGUUCGGGUGUCAAACCCCUACGCGUAAUGAAAGUGAACGCAGGUGAGAGCUUCGGCGCAUCAUCGACCGAUCCUGAUGUUCUCGGAUGGAUUUGAGUAAGAGCAUACGGGGCCGGACCCGAAAGAAGGUGAACUAUGCCUGUAUAGGGUGAAGCCAGAGGAAACUCUGGUGGAGGCUCGCAGCGGUUCUGACGUGCAAAUCGAUCGUCAAAUAUGGGCAUGGGGGCGAAAGACUAAUCGAACCUUCUAGUAGCUGGUUUCCGC
rnacentral:rRNA from 1 species